AGGCACGUAGCUCAGUUGGUUAGAGCGCUUGCUUGACAGGCAAGAGGUCGGCAGUUCGAAUCUGCCCGUGCCUACCA
rnacentral:tRNA from 1 species